rnacentral:misc_RNA from 1 species
AAGUCGUAACAAGGUUUCCGUAGGUGAACCUGCGGAAGGAUCAUUACGAAAUUGUAGGCCGGUCUGACCGGUUCUAUUCUACCCUGUUUUUUGCGCACCUUUUGUUUCCUCGGUGGGCUUGCCUGCCGAUAGGACAAUUUCAACUCUUUAUGGUUUUUAGCAAUCAGCGUCAAAAUUUACUAAAUUGUAACAACUUUCAACAACGGAUCUCUUGGUUCUG